rnacentral:lncRNA from 1 species
UUAAAGUGAUGUUAAAUUGGGGUGAGAAAAAGGCUAAGAACUUUUUUUUUUCUGAAUAGCUUUUGAGACUUCAUAAUGUACAGCAACACAGGAAGGGAGUCAGUUUCCUCUUUGGAGAAAAAUAAAAAGAUAACAAGAGAGUGGAAUAGUUUCCACGCCUGUGCCAUCCAUCUUUCUUCUGAGGCAAAGACCCUCGAGACACAGCAAAGCCCCGGAGAGGUUUCUCUGCUUCCUGCAAAGGUUCUCGGUGGGACUGAGUCCUGGGCUGUCAGGGCCUGUGUUUCUUUCUCUCAGGGCUAGGGGGAGGAAGAAGUUGUCACUUUGCCUCCAUCAGGAUCCAGCCCCAAGGAAAGCAAGCAGCAGCUGCUAAAAAACUUAUUGAUUCCUUGAGGAGAAGAAACCUCUGCUCCCCCUCCCUCCCACCCUGCUGUGGUGGUGGUCACUAAUGAAGGACAAUGUGCAAAAUCACUCACUGCCUGUCUUCCCUGGGAUCCACGGAAAUCACCCUUAGGGCUGCCUGCUGUGAGUAGGUCUCUCCCCAAAAAGUGGGGAGGGCUGAGCUGUUGGUUUAUCUGGGGGGACAGUGGUCUGGAGGUGACUGUUGACUCUCAAAGAGGUCUUAGAAUCUUUUUUAUUCCUAUCCAAGUUCUGGAUAGAACUGGAUCUUAGUAAGGUAAACAGAUUAGUGUUGUUUGUUUUGAAUCAUUAGACCAGAAUUUGACCAUGUUUCCGUGCUUUCUAAGUUCCAGAGACUUUGCUAGCUAGACUUAAAGAGUAUCUCGCCCCGGGGACAGCGGUCUCCUUUUAAUAAUUAACUUAUUUUAAAAAAAGAAGAAGAAGAAGAAAAAAAAGACGCUUAAAAUCAAAUAUUUCCUCGUUCUUGUUGCACAAGCACCAGGCUGCCGGGGACUGAGUUGGGCCUGCUGCAGGUUGAACUUUGCCCUGGGUUCAGGUUUAUGUAAUAUGGCUAAGCUAAAAAAUACCCAAUUGCACCUGAACGAGCCGUUCCAUGUGUCGCUUUCCACAGGGGUGUUCUGUUACAGGCACCUGUGUGGAGCAGAAUAGCGGCCUUGUUCAGUUCCUCCAGACUGCCCCCACCUCUGCAGGCCACCAGUAUCCUCUGUCUGAAGGUCUGUCUAAAAUUAGGGCUGCUAAGGGGACAUCUUGAAUUCCCCAGGAAUCUUGCUGUGGGUCAGAGAAGCAUGGACAUAGCUCCCCUCACCUAUCAUGAGGUGACAAUAUAAGUAGCAGGUCUGACGCCAUGCAGUGAGUGACUUUAUGGCUGCCCUGGUCACUGUUGUGAGGUUCCUUUAGUAAGAGGGAUUCACUUCCUAGGUCUUUAUUGAGGCCUCCUAUGUAGAAGGCGUUUUGUUAGGCCCUGUCCUUGCUCCUUUCUCUGAUACAAUAUGGCAGUAGGCGAGGAAAGAAGGAAGGAAGGAAGGAAGGAAGGAAGGAAGGAAGGGCGGGCAUCUGUCAGUCUUCUUGGACUUCUCUUUCUGUAGUGAGAUAAUGAAGAGCCGGCCGAGUGACCAGGUACGGGGAGGGAAAGGAGCGGUUCUGGGUAGAGGCUGACAGCUACACAAAGGCAGAACAAGCAUUUCUGUAAUGGACAGAUGGGCCCCAUGUUGGCUUUUCUCUUGGCAAAUGGUUGUGUUUGGCCAGGGUUUUACAGCUUCCUCAUUUGGGGCCAGCGGGAGAAGAAGACAAAGUAAAGAUGUCAUAAAGUUGGCAGUAGGAGCUGCCUGGAAAGGGCCACUCAUGGGAGCACUAGGGUCUCUCCUAGGGAAGUCAGUCCUUUUUUGAGAGUUCAGGGUGUGAAUCUUGUCUUCCUUUGGAAAUAGAUCACUUGGUGGCUUCACUUAGCUAUUCUGUGGGGAAAGGCCUUUUAUCUCUUUCAAAUAAAGUUGUUUAGAACUUGUUGCUUGAUGUACCGAACCUUUAUGCUUUGAAAUUCCAUAAUUCAUAAAGGUCCAGAUACAGGGAUGAGAAUUUGCAUGGAAGGUAGACUGAGCUCACCUCUGGCCUGGCUCAGCACUCAACCUUUCUAGAAUAAUCUAUGUUCAUCUCUGUGCUAUUUUAUUAUCAGCUGUGUUGGACCACCAAACUCUGCUGUGAUGUCAGGAAGUCAGACCCAGCCUCUUUAGCUAUCAUUUGCACCAUACAUAAACAGGGGACACUUUCAAUACAGGCGCGGUAUGUCUUACAUAGGCCCUGCCUUCCUAGUGGCUGACUGCCUGCCUGUCCUCUGACCUCUUCUAUCUCAUCUUGGGCUGUAAAGG